CACGUAGGAGGCGAGCGUUGUCCGGAAUCAUUGGGCGUAAAGAGCGCGUAGGCGGCUUGGCAAGUCGGGUGUGAAAUCCCGGGGCUCAACCCCGGGACUGCAUCCGAUACUGUCAGGCUAGAGGUAGGUAGGGGAGAUCGGAAUUCCUGGUGUAGCGGUGAAAUGCGCAGAUAUCAGGAGGAACACCGGUGGCGAAGGCGGAUCUCUGGGCCUUACCUGACGCUGAGGCGCGAAAGCUAGGGGAGCGAACAGG
rnacentral:rRNA from 1 species